rnacentral:hammerhead_ribozyme from 1 species
AUCCAGCUGACGCGUCCGACAAUAGAACAAUAUGCGCGUCCUGGAU